GUGUGUCGUCGUCGCGAGUCACGAGAGUUAGUGUAUCUGGCUCAGAACGAACGCUGGCGGCGCGUUUUAAGCAUGCAAGUCGAGCGGCAAGGGCCUUCGGGCCCCUAGAGCGGCGGACGGGUGAGUAACACGUGGACAAUCUGCCCCCCGGCCCGGGAUAGCCCAGGGAAACCUGGAUUAAUACCGGAUGAGACGGGACCCGCGGAGGCGGGAUCCGGGAAAGGCGCUACGGCGCCGCCGGGGGAUGAGUCUGCGUCCCAUUAGCUAGACGGCGGGGUAACGGCCCACCGUGGCGACGAUGGGUAGCCGGCCUGAGAGGGUGGACGGCCACAUUGGAACUGAGACACGGUCCAGACUCCUACGGGAGGCAGCAGCUAAGAAUCUUCCGCAAUGGGCGAAAGCCUGACGGAGCCGACGCCGCGUGAACGAAGAAGGCCGUGAGGUUGUAAAGUUCUUUUCGGGAGGGGGAACAACCGUGGCAGGGAAUGGCCGCGGGAUGACGUGAAUCCCGGAAUAAGCCCCGGCUAACUACGUGCCAGCCGCCGC
rnacentral:rRNA from 1 species